UAGAGUUCUUGUUGGGUAGCAGAGA
rnacentral:misc_RNA from 1 species